GUAAAAUAAAUUAUUAAUAAUUCAUCAUUAGUCUUUGUCAGGAAUAAACCUUUAUCCUAAAUUUGUGAAGUUAUGAUUCAAUGAAAUGUUAUGGAAAGUGAUCACAUGCUAUCUGUUUUGGUGUGUGGUUCCUCCCAUAUUGGUGUGUGGGUAUGUGUGUUUUUUUGUCUCCUCCCUCCAGGCUUUGUGUCUGGGUGUGUUCGGGUAAUAGCUGGCGAAACAGCCAUUACUGUUGAUUGAGUGAUUCAAACAAGCUCCUGAAGUCUGGAUUGAAUGAUUGAUAGACAGCACUCUUUUAAGCUCCAGCUGAAAGCCGUCUGCUGCUUCCUUUAUCUCCUCUACACCAGGGGUCUCAAACUCCAGUCCUCGACGGCAGCAGGUGAUCUAGCACAGUGGUUCUCAAACUUUUCACAAUGAGUCUGACCUCUUAAAAUAUAUGGCUCUUAAAGUACCACCCUUAUGACUGACAUUAAAGGACAGUAGCAGUAACAUGGUAUAUUAUUUAAUAUUUAAAUAUUGAAUCAUACUUUUCUUUUUAAAAAUAAAUAUCUAAUAUCUUUGACCAUGUCCACUGCGACGCUUUGAACAGUGAAUCUUGCAUGCGUGUAUAAACCUUACCAACUUGAAACAGGUAGCAUAUCCUCCACCACAUAACUCGUAACAAGCUUCAGAGUAAAAUCUAAUCAUUGCAGUGUUGAAGCAGUAGUUACAUCACUCUCCUUCUCACCACCAGCAUUAUAGAGCUGCACAUAAUCUAAUUGCCUCUUUAGUGAACUAACCACCUGUUCAUCUACCUGUCUUUAUAGGGCUUUGGAGCGUGAUGUCACGGGGGGUGGGCGUGGAAAGGAUUUUGGCCCGAUCCGCCAUUUUGGGGGUCUAGCGCAAGUGAAAAGGGAGCGAAGUCACACACAACAGCCAUGGUUCGUAUUUGCUGUGUGGUCGGCUGCAAUGUUCGAUCACACGACCGGCAAGAGAAUAAGGUUGAAAAUGGUUUAUCUUUUCAUUCUUUCCCAACCUGGAAGCAACAUGAGCAGCUCGUGUAUUGAUGUUACCAAACGAAGGCGUCUAGCCUGGAUAGCAGCUGUGAGACGAGCUGACGUGCAGUUCUCUUCCAUCUCCAAAUAUCUGUUGGUGCUCCAGACAUUUUCAUUCCGCAAACCAGCCUAUGAAAUGGAUGAAACAUCGUGACUGGGUUCCAGCGCUACACAAGGGACCUGCUGCAAACAUACCACCAUGCCAAUCAGAUUACUUCUUCCAUGUGAGGGUGAAGAGUUGACCCUUCUGGAUAAGAUGGUGAAGGUUUGGUGAACAGUGUGGUAGUAAAACCAGGGAAAAAUGAAACCUGCUCCUGUUAAAUAUUCUUAAGUCUUGUGCUGUUAAAAUUGCUGUAUUUUUUCAAAAGAUACAGUAAAUAAAGUAAUGUUAGUAGUGGGUGAUGUCAUGUAAACACUCAUGAUUUUGUGUAAACAUUUUGUCAUUUGUAAACUAUAAAUGACAUGGAUUCUACAUUGUAACUGAUGUGAUGUUCUAUAAGGUGGUUUCAAUAAAAAAAAGAG
ensembl:lncRNA